AGGUAGCACAAUCACUUGUUCUUUAAAUAAGGACUAGUAUGAACGGCACCACGAAGACCAUGCUGUCUCCUUUUUCUAAUCAGUGAAACUGAUCUCCCCGUGAAGAAGCGGGGAUUAUUCUAUAAGACGAGAAGACCCUAUGAAGCUUAAAAUUUAUAUCAACUGCCCMCCAUAUACCACCUCAACCUGACAGACCUGAUUACCAAUUUUUGGUUGGGGUGACCGCGGAGCAAAAUUAAACCUCCACAAUGAAAGGACCAACCUCCUAAUUCAAGAAUUACACUUCUAAAAAUCAACAUAUUGACAUAAAUUGAUCCAAACCUUUGAUCAAUGAACCAAGUUACUCUAGGGAUAACAGCGCAAUCCAUUUCAAGAGCCCCUAUCGACAAAUGGGUUUACGACCUCGAUGUUGGAUCAGGGUGUCCUAGUGGUGCAACCGCUACUAAAGGUUCGUUUGUUCAACGAUUAAAACCCUACGUGAUCUG
rnacentral:rRNA from 1 species